UAUUGCCAGAAAAAUAAUGUUUUUGAUGACUUGGCCCAUCUGAAGACUGCCUGUACUGAGAAAUCUCUCUGUGAUUUACAUCUCUAUUUCCAGUUGCUGAGAGCUCCUUAAUUAAGACUCUGGUACUGGCCAUAAAAUGUGAUUAUUUUCCAGAUGAUCAUAAUGGCACUUCAUGUGCUUUUACCCGGCACUCUCUGAAGUCUCAUUAAGCCAGAGCAGAGCAUGGGAAUACUGUCUGGGGCAUUUACACCACAGGCAAGAAUGAAGGAAGGAAACACCCUGAAUACUACGGGAUUUUCAUUUUCCUGAGAUGAACUCUGCUGCUGGCCAUGAACCUGAUGGUGUGGAAGAACUGCAGAACAAACUGCAGCAAUCAGCUAAUUCACCUGAGCAGAUCUGCAAGACCUACCUCAUCCUGUGAGUGUUCUCAUCCUCAGCAGCUGAAUAAACAUUUCCGAAACAGUGACUGAGCCAAUAGGAGGAAUUAAGUGAGAGCCCAAACACACUUUGCAAACACCUGUGCUGUUCUCAGUCAUACAAAUUUGCUGAAACUUGCCUCACAUCAUCCUUCCUGCUACACAAUUCUUUCAAGUUGCUCUGCACCAAUUCCUAAACUCCAUGUCAUUUGAAUAGGGGGCUUGACACACUUGAUGACGCUUUUCACUGGCAGCCUAAAAGCCUGCAGAAAAACCACAGGAUAGGAUGGAGCGACUGUGCCACCUCGUGGGGCUGGAC